UACAAAGGGGGCUAGCGUUGCUCGGAAUCACUGGGCGUAAAGGGUGCGUAGGCGGGUCUUUAAGUCAGAGGUGAAAUCCUGGAGCUCAACUCCAGAACUGCCUUUGAUACUGAGGAUCUCGAGUCCGGAAGAGGUGAGUGGAACUGCGAGUGUAGAGGUGAAAUUCGUAGAUAUUCGCAAGAACACCAGUGGCGAAGGCGGCUCACUGGUCCGGUACUGACGCUGAGGUGCGAAAGCGUGGGGAGCAAACAGG
rnacentral:rRNA from 1 species